CAGUAGCCACGGUAAUACGUAGGUGGCAAGCGUUGUCCGGAAUUAUUGGGCGUAAAGCGCGCGCAGGUGGUUUAAUAAGUCUGAUGUGAAAGCCCACGGCUCAACCGUGGAGGGUCAUUGGAAACUGUUAAACUUGAGUGCAGGAGAGAAAAGUGGAAUUCCUAGUGUAGCGGUGAAAUGCGUAGAGAUUAGGAGGAACACCAGUGGCAAAGGCGGCUUUUUGGCCUGUAACUGACACUGAGGCGCGAAAGCGUGGGGAGCAAACAGGAUUAGAGACCCGCGUAGUCCCUGUCUCUUAUAC
rnacentral:rRNA from 1 species